UACGAAGGGGGCUAGCGUUGUUCGGAUUUACUGGGCGUAAAGCGCACGUAGGCGGAUCGUUAAGUCGGGGGUGAAAUCCUGGAGCUCAACUCCAGAACUGCCUUCGAUACUGGAAGACUCGAGUCCGGGAGAGGUGAGUGGAACUGCGAGUGUAGAGGUGAAAUUCGUAGAUAUUCGCAAGAACACCAGUGGCGAAGGCGGCUCACUGGCCCGGGUACUGACGCUGAGGUGCGAAAGCGUGGGGAGCGAACGG
rnacentral:rRNA from 1 species